CAAUAGCGUAUAUUAAAGUUGUUGCAGUUAAAAAGCUCGUAGUUGGAUUUCUGGUGGGAGCGAUCGGUCUGGCGCUUAGCGCGAGUACUUGCAUCGUCUCCGGCCAUCCUUGGGGAGAGUCUGUCUGGCAUUAAGUUGUCGGGCAGAGGAUCCUCAUCGUUUACUGUGAAAAAAUUAGAGUGUUCAAAGUAGGCUUAUGCCGUUGAAUAUAUUAGCAUGGAAUAAUAAGAUAGGACUUUGGUACUAUUUUGUUGGUUUGCGCACCAAAGUAAUGAUUAAUAGGGACAGUUGGGGGUAUUCGUAUUCCGUUGUCAGAGGUGAAAUUCUUGGAUUUACGGAAGACGAACUACUGCGAAAGCAUUUACCAAGGAUGUUUUCAUUAA
rnacentral:rRNA from 1 species